GAUGAAGAACGCAGUGAAAUGCGAUAAGUAAUGCGAAUUGCAGAAUUCCAGUGAGUCAUCGAAUCUUUGAACGCACAUUGCGCCCUUUGGUAUUCCGAAGGGCAUGCCUGUUCGAGCGUCAUUAUCACCCCUCAAGCCCUCGGCUUGGUGUUGGACGGUUUGGUGGAGGCCCCCUCGGGGGCUCCUGCCCCUCCCAAAGACAAUGACGGCGGCCUCGUUGGACCCCCGGUACACUGAGUUCUUCACGGGACACGUAUCGGACACAUGGGUUUACGGGACACGGUCUGCCUCCCCUCAGGGAGAAUCUUUCUAAGGUUGACCUCGGAUCAGGUAGGGAUACCCGCUGAACUUAAGCACAUCAAUAAGCGGAGGA
rnacentral:misc_RNA from 1 species